rnacentral:lncRNA from 1 species
UUAAAAUAAAUAUAGUGUUGUAUAUUCUUUUCUAAUCACUAAUGGUUUUCUUAUUUAAUUUAUUCAGUUAGAUUAAUUUCAGUAAAUUUCUAUAUCACAUAUGAGAUAUUAGUAUAUCUGUCAAUGGUUACUUAUUUGAUUUCAUCUCAAGCUGGUCAACAUCCAUAAUUGUGUUAAUUGAAAGAUUGUACGAUUGGCUUCAAUGGACUGGGCCUGGAUUCUUUCCAAAAAAACAGGAGACCAUAGGAUUUUGAAUUCAGAUCCUGCAAGGUGGUAUGGUAUGCUUUACUACAUCUAUCUGGCUGACAUUUAAUUUAUCAAAUCUCUAAUGCUAAAUUAUUUUGCUUAAUAUCUCAAACUGAAACUAUACAAAACUAUAAUCCUACCAAUAGCCACAUAUGGAUGCGAGACAUGGACAUUACGUAAACUAAUUACUAACAGAUUAAAAACUUUUAUAAAUAAAAUCUUAAGAAAAACUUUUGGUCCAAAGAAAGAUGAAGAAACAGAUAAUUGGAGGAUCCUGCAUAACAAAGAACUAAGGAAAAAAAUACAAUAAUCAGGAUAUUAUACAGAUCAUUAGUGCAAGAAGGCUAAGGUGAGCUGGACAUGCAGCUAGAGCAGAAGAAAACAGAGGAGUGUACAGAAUCAUGAAUGACCAACCUCACGGGAAGAGACCAAUCGAAAGACCACCGCUCCGAUGGGAAGAGGGAAUCAUACGGCACCUCAAGGAAGCAGGACAGGAUGGGAACAUUGGAAGUAGAUGGCACAGGAUAGAAUCGACUGGAGGUCAGCUGUUAAGGCGGUCAUGGGUCCCUAUGGCCUAUAGAAUCAGAGAGAGAGAGAGAUCAUUAAUAUAGCUGUUCUGUAUAUAUGGCAUUUUUAUAGUUUGUAG